rnacentral:rRNA from 1 species
UGGGGAAUAUUGCGCAAUGGGGGAAACCCUGACGCAGCCAUGCCGCGUGAGUGAAGAAGGUCUUCGGAUCGUAAAGCUCUUUCAACGGUGAAGAUGAUGACGGUAGCCGUAGAAGAAGCCCCGGCUAACUUCGUGCCAGCAGCCGCGGUAAUACGAAGGGGGCAAGCGUUGUUCGGAAUUACUGGGCGUAAAGGGCGUGUAGGCGGUCUAAUCAGUCAGAGGUGAAAGCCCUGGGCUCAACCCAGGAAUUGCCUUUGAUACUGUUAGACUAGAGUUCGGGAGAGGGUAGUGGAAUUCCCAGUGUAGAGGUGAAAUUCGUAGAUAUUGGGAAGAACACCAGUGGCGAAGGCGGCUACCUGGACCGAUACUGACGCUGAGGCGCGAAAGCGUGGGGAGCAAACAGGAUUAGAUACCCCCGUAGUCC